CGGUGAAUACGUUCCCGGGCCUUGUACACACCGCCCGUCACACCAUGAGAGUCGAUAACACCCGAAGCCUGUGAGCUAACCGUAAGGAGGCAGCAGUCGAAGGUGGGGUUGAUGAUUGGGGUGAAGUCGUAACAAGGUAGC
rnacentral:rRNA from 1 species